rnacentral:miRNA from 1 species
AUACUAAUGACCUAUGUGUCUUGUUAAAAUACAGAUUCUGUGUCAGGAGGUCUGGGGCAGGCCUGAGACUCUGCCUUUCUAAUAAGCUCCCAGGUGAUGUUGAU